CUGUGAAGAGUUGGACCCCUACUGGGAUGGCUAGGUAUUUCCUGUGUAGUGUUGGACCCCUACUGGGAUGGCUAGGUAUUUCCUGUGUAGAGUUGGACCCCUACUGGGAUGGCUAGGUAUUUCCUGUGUAGUGUUGGACCCCUUCCUACUGGGAUGGCUAGGUAUUUCCUGUGUAGAGUUGGACCCCUACUGGGAUGGCUAGGUAUUUCCUGUGUAGAGUUGGACCCCUACUGGGAUGGCUAGGUAUUUCCUGUGAAGAGUUGGACCCCUUCCUACUGGGAUGGCUAGGUAUUUCCUGUGUAGAGUUGGACCCCUACUGGGAUGGCUAGGUAUUUCCUGUGUAGAGUUGGACCCCUACUGGGAUGGCCAGGUAUUUCCUGUGUAGAGUUGGACUCCUACUGGGAUGGCUAGGUAUUUCCUGUGUAGAGUUGGACCCCUUCUGGGAUGGCUAGGUAUUUUCUGUGAAGAGUUGGACCCCUACUGGGAUGGCUAGGUAUUUCCUGUGAAGAGUUGGACCCCUACUGGGAUGGCUAGGUAUUUCCUGUGUAGUGUUGGACCCCUACUGGGAUGGCUACGUAUUUCCUGUGAAGAGUUGGACCCCUACUGGGAUGGCUACGUAAUUCCUGUGUAGAGUUGGACCCCUACUGGGAUGGCUAGGUAUUUCCUGUGUAGAGUUGGACCCCUACUGGGAUGGCUAGGUAUUUCCUGUGAAGAGUUGGACCCCUUCCUACUGGGAUGGCUAGGUAUUUCCUGUGAAGAGUUGGACCCCUACUGGGAUGGCUAGGUAUUUCCUGUGUAGAGUUGGACCCCUUCCUACUGGGAUGGCUAGGUAUUUCCUGUGUAGAGUUGGACCCCUACUGGGAUGGCCAGGUAUUUCCUGUGUAGAGUUGGACCCCUACUGGGAUGGUUAGGUAUUUCCUGUGUAGAGUUAGACCCCUUCCUACUGGGAUGGCUAGGUAUUUCCUGUGAAGAGUUGGACCCCUUCCUACUGGGAUGGCUAGGUAUUUCCUGUGUAGAGUUGGACCCCUACUGGGAUGGCUAGGUAUUUCCUGUGUAGAGUUGGACCCCUACUGGGAUGGCCAGGUAUUUCCUGUGUAGAGUUGGACUCCUACUGGGAUGGCUAGGUAUUUCCUGUGUAGAGUUGGACCCCUACUGGGAUGGCUAGGUAUUUUCUGUGAAGAGUUGGACCCCUACUGGGAUGGCUAGGUAUUUCCUGUGUAGAGUUGGACCCCUUCCUACUGGGAUGGCUAGGUAUUUCCUGUGUAGUGUUGGACCCCUACUGGGAUGGCUACGUAUUUCCUGUGAAGAGUUGGACCCCUACUGGGAUGGCUACGUAAUUCCUGUGUAGAGUUGGACCCCUACUGGGAUGGCUAGGUAUUUCCUGUGUAGAGUUGGACCCCUACUGGGAUGGCUAGAUAUUUCCUGUGUAGAGUUGGACCCCUACUGGGAUGGCUAGGUAUUUCCUGUGAAGAGUUGGACCCCUUCCUACUGGGAUGGCUAGGUAUUUCCUGUGUAGAGUUGGACCCCUACUGGGAUGGCUAGGUAUUUCCUGUGUAGAGUUGGACCCCUACUGGGAUGGCUAGGUAUUUCCUGUGUAGAGUUGGACCCCUACUGGGAUGGCUAGGUAUUUCCUGUGUAGUGUUGGACCCCUACUGGGAUGGCUAGGUAUUUCCUGUGUAGAGUUGGACCCCUACUGGGAUGGCUAGGUAUUUCCUGUGUAGAGUUGGACCCCUUCCUACUGGGAUGGCUAGGUAUUUCCUGUGUAGAGUUGGACCCCUACUGGGAUGGCUAGGUAUUUCCUGUGUAGUGUUGGACCCCUACUGGGAUGGCUAGGUAUUUCCUGUGAAGAGUUGGACCCCUUCCUACUGGGAUGGCUAGGUAUUUCCUGUGUAGAGUUAGACCCCUUCCUACUGGGAUGGCUAGGUAUUUCCUGUGUAGAGUUGGACCCCUACUGGGAUGGCUAGGUAUUUCCUGUGUAGAGUUGGACCCCUUCCUACUGGGAUGGCUAGGUAUUUCCUGUGUAGAGUUAGACCCCUUCCUACUGGGAUGGCUAGGUAUUUCCUGUGUAGAGUUGGACCCCUACUGGGAUGGCUAGGUAUUUCCUGUGUAGAGUUGGACCCCUUCCUACUGGGAUGGCCAGGUAUAUCCUGUGUAGAGUUGGACCCCUACUGGGAUGGCUAGGUAUUUCCUGUGUAGAGUUGGACCCCUUCCUACUGUGAUGGCUAGGUAUUUCCUGUGUAGAUUUGGACCCCUACUGGGAUGGCUAGGUAUUUCCUGUGAAGAGUUGGACCCCUACUGGGAUGGCUAGGUAUUUCCUGUGUAGAGUUAGAUCCUAUCCACUGGGAUGUCCCCCUCCCCCCACACACACCUGGCCACACCUGAUAACACGAAGGUCAGGUAUUGUGUACAAUAGCCACUUGUGUGUUCCCAUGCUUUUUAAUGCAACUGUACUAUAUUAUACAGAACAUGCAUGGCACUGUACUGUGGAAUGUUAUAGAGAAAAUACACCCAGGACACAAAUAUGUUCUACAAUAAAAUUUAUUUUGUACAGAU